rnacentral:rRNA from 2 species
CGGGGAGGUAGUGACGAAAAAUAACGAUACGGGACUCAUCCGAGGCCCCGUAAUCGGAAUGAGUACACUUUAAAUCCUUUAACGAGGAUCAAUUGGAGGGCAAGUCUGGUGCCAGCAGCCGCGGUAAUUCCAGCUCCAAUAGCGUAUAUUAAAGUUGUUGCGGUUAAAAAGCUCGUAGUUGAAUCUGUGUGUCACAGUGUCGGUUCACCGCUCGCGGUGUCUAACUGGCAUUAUGUGAUACGUCCUACCGGUGGGCUUAGCUCUUCACGGGGCGGUCCAACAGACAUCCCAUCGCGGUGCUCUUCACUGAGUGUCGAGGUGGGCCGGUACGUUUACUUUGAAUAAAUUAGAGUGCUUAAAGCAGGCUAUUUUCGCCUGAAUACUAUGUGCAUGGAAUAAUGGAAUAGGACCUCGGUUCUAUUUUGUUGGUUUCCGGAACCCCGAGGUAAUGAUUAAUAGGGACAGAUGGGGGCAUUCGUAUUGCGACGUUAGAGGUGAAAUUCUUGGAUCGUCGCAAGACGGACUAAAGCGAAAGCAUUUGCCAAAAAUGUUUUCAUUAAUCAAGAACGAAAGUUAGAGGUUCGAAGGCGAUCAGAUACCGCCCUAGUUCUAACCAUAAACGAUGCCAACUAGCGAUCCGCCGAUGUUCCUCCGAUGACUCGGCGGGCAGCUUCCGGGAAACCAAAGUUUUUGGGUUCCGGGGGAAGUAUGGUUGCAAAGCUGAAACUUAAAGGAAUUGACGGAAGGGCACCACCAGGAGUGGAGCCUGCGGCUUAAUUUGACUC